AAUUAUUACUCCCAUUACUUAAAUGUUUCAGCAAUAUCAAUCUCCUUUUUUCUUCGAUUUGCUCUUAUUCCGUUAAUAUCAACUCACUAUCUUUUUCUACUAACAUUUGCUUAUUUUUAAAAGAAAAAAAGGAAACUUGACUUUACUGGAUACCAGGGUGCGUUUCUACAUCAGCUUUCCCCUCCAAAGACUCCUUCUUAUGCUCCUGUCCCAGGGUUUGGUGAGCUGGUUAACACUCCAUGUGAUCUCUGCAGAGAAGAUGUUCUGGAGGUUUUCUAAAAGAUAGACCAUUUGAACAUUUUUGUCUUUCCUACAACUCAUAGCUUGGCUGUGUAUAUCGUUCUUAGAUCUGACUUUUUUCCUUAAAAAUUCUGAAGCUCUAAUUCUAUUAUCUUGGGAUAGCAGUAAAGCAACCUGAAGACAUUCUAAUUUUGGCUUAAAAUGGUGAAAUCUUUAUUCUCAAAGUUGAAGCAUUUUAAUAGUUACUUUCCAGAGUUAGUUUCUGUUUAUUUAUUGAACAUGAGGCAGUGAUUUUUUAAAAUUAAUUUAUAGUUCUUUUAAUAAUUUUUUUUAAAUUCUGGAUCUUAAAAAAUUAUAUCUUGAUUAUUAAUUUUAAUUUUGCCCUUCAGGUACUUUUUUUUUUUUUUUUUUGAGGCGGAGUCUCUCUGUCAACCAGGCUGGAGUGCGGUGGCGCAAUCUCCGCUCACUGCAAGCUCUGCCUUCUGGGUUCACGCCAUUUUCUUGCCUCAGCCUCUCCGAGUACCUGGGACUACAGGCGCCCGCCACCACGCCCGGCUAAUUUUUUGUGUUUUUAGUAGAGACGGGCUUUCACCGUGGACUCUAUCUCCUGACCUCGUGAUCCGCCCGCAUAGGCCUCCCAAAGUGCUGGGAUUACAAGCGUGAGCAACCGCGCCCGGCCCCCUUCAGAGAUGGGGCCUUGCUGUGUUGUCCAGGCUGGACUCAAACUCCUGGGCCCAAGCAUUUCUCACACCUCAGUUUGUGGAGUAGCUGGGAUUACAGGCAUGUGUCACCAUGCUCCAAAAUUCAUAUGUUGAAACCUGAUUCCCACUGUGAUGGUUUUGGGUAAGGCCUGUGGGAGAUGAUUAGGUUGUGAGGGCGGAGCACCCAUGAAUCGGAUUAGUGCUCUUAAAACAGUCCGAAGAGACCAGCAUUCUUACUUUUCAUCAUGUGAGGACACAGCGAGAAGACAUUGUCUAGGAACAAAGAAAUAGGCCUUCAUGAUACACCGAAUCUGCCAGCACCUUUAUUUUGGAUUUUCCAGACUCCAGAACUGAGAGGGACAAUUUUUUAUUCUUUAUAAGUCACUUAGUCUAUGGUAUUUUGUUAUAGCAACCUCAAUGGACUAAGACAAAUGAGUACGAAAAGUGUUAAGCACAUGAAUACUCUUAAUCCAGCAAUUCUAAUUCUAGGAGAUUAUAAAAGCAGACAAAGGUAUUGCUAUGGGAAUGUUCAUUGUAGCAUCAUGCUAGUACCAAACUUGGCCCAACAAUAGGAAAUUGAAUCAUAAAU
rnacentral:lncRNA from 1 species